GGUGAACGCUGGCGGCGUGCUUAAGACAUGCAAGUCGAACGGCAGUCUUCGGACUGUAGUGGCGCACGGGUGAGUAACGCGUAACUGACCUACCCCAAAGUCGCGGAUAACGAUUCGAAAGAAUCGCUAAUACGUGAUGUGCUGUCAGAUUGUGUUCUGCCAGUAAAGAUUGAUUGCUUUGGGAUGGGGUUGCGUUCCAUCAGCUAGUUGGUGGGGUAAAGGCCCACCAAGGCGACGACGGAUAGCCGGCCUGAGAGGGUGGCCGGCGACAGGGGCACUGAGACACGGGUCCCACUCCUACGGGAGGCAGCAGUUAGGAAUCUUCCUCAAUGGGCGAAAGCCUGAUGGAGCGACGCCGCGUGAGGGAUGAAGGUCUUCGGAUCGUAAACCUCUGAAUCAGGGACGAAAGACACUUCGGUGGGAUGACGGUACCUGAGUAAUAGCACCGGCUAACUCCGUGCCAGCCGCCGCCGUAAGAC
rnacentral:rRNA from 1 species